GCUUCCCUAACUCUGUGGAAAACCUAUUAAAGGUUUUUAUCUUCUUUUCUAGUUAUUAAUUCUUUGGGGAUCGGGGAAACUAGGAAACAUGGAAAAUACAGUGGGAGGGCAAUAUAAAGAUCAAGAUUUGCCAAGAUUCUGUGUUGAUAAAUAUUUAUUUCCACAUCUGUUUUCUAUGUGUUCCCUUUCUCUUUUCCUUCUCCCUUCUAACCCAACACACAGACAAAAGGAAUUGGAGGCUUAAACAAUUAACUGGUGACUGCAGGACUGGUUGUUUAAGAAUCUGGAUAAUUGAGUUCUAAUUUCUCCAUUUCUUCUACAAUUUGGUAAAUUAAAAAACAUUUUUGUGAUGCAGUCUCAUUUAUGGCAGUUAAGGACCAUAGUCAAAGGCUGGAAUUAAUUUCUGAUUAGUCUGAAGGAACAAUAUGUUACCUGGAUCAGAAAGAGAAUGCCAAAGUUGGAGAAUGAGUCACUUCUGCUGCCGUCAGAGCUGUUCCAGGAGCCUACGAAACUGAAGUCCAUUUUCAGGCACUCACUACCUUUGAUGCAUUUGAUGAGGAGCCUCAAACAGUGGAUUCCUCCUGGUUUGGCAGCCAAGAAAAGAUUUAUUUCAGUGUUUACACCUGCUGGAAAAUUGGGAAUUCCAGAAAUCUCACAGUGUCCAGACCAGUUUUCUUUACAAAUCUGGGAUGCAGCACCCUCUUUUGAAAAACAGAGAUCAGUUCUUAGACUUUGUACAUUUAUACCAGUUUUACUUCAUUGGUACCAGGGUGACUUGAAUUCUUGAAAAGGAUGCAGUUUCCUAGAAACUUUUAGAAGAAAAGCAUUAAAAUAAAAGUUGACCAUUGAAUGGC